GGCAAACACUUAAGCUUCCUGCCUGCCUG
rnacentral:piRNA from 1 species